AGUGAACGCUGGCGGUAGGCCUAACACAUGCAAGUCGAACGGCAGCACAGUAAGCGCUUGCUCGUACGGGUGCCGAGUGGCGGAUGGUAGAUGAAUACAUCGGCAGCUGCGUGUGCGUGGUGGGCGACGUAGGGAAUAUUACGCUAAACCCGCUGACGGCCUAAGGGGGAAAGCUGCGGAUCUUCGGAUCUUGCGCCAUUCAAUGGGCCGAUGUCGGAUUAGCUAGUUGGUGGGGUAAAGGCCCACCAAGGCGACGAUCCGUAGCUGGUCUGAGAGGAUGAUCAGCCACACUGGAACUGAGACACGGUCCAGACUCCUACGGGAGGCAGCAGUGGGGAAUAUUGGACAAUGGGCGCAAGCCUGAUCCAGCCAUACCGCGUGGGUGAAGAAGGCCUUCGGGUUGUAAAGCACUUUUGUUGGGAAAGAAAAGCAGCAGGUUAAUACCACGCUGUUCUGACGGUACCCAAAGAAUAAGCACCGGCUAACUUCGUG
rnacentral:rRNA from 1 species